rnacentral:lncRNA from 10 species
CUGAUUAGAAAGGAGGACUUGGGAGGGGAAAAUAUAAGACUCUCGAGCAGGGCUGGAAACAGACUGGAACCUGGGAGGAGGCUAGCCCGUCUGCUGAGUGAUGGAGAGAAGGGCAGAGUGGAACCUGGCAGGGGCCUCUUGCUGAGUGACCCUGGGCAAAUCACUCGGACACCCUGGGCCUUGGAUUCCUCCCCAGUAAGGACAAAUAAUGAGACUUAUAAGCUCCAUCUGGCUUGGUCAUGACCUGAUUCCCUCAGCCUAGAAUAAUGCCAGGCCUACAAUAAGCGCCCAAAUAAGUAAAAAGACAGCAUGACACACAAAUAUAUUUGUCAACUGAGCUCUCCCCAAAAAACAACAGCAGCAAAUGGACAUGGAAGGUGAGCAGCUCCCUCUCCGCAUCCGAACGCUGCCCCCAAACCCUGAUCAUCCCCUCUACCCAUUGCCGGGGAAGGCACCCAGCUUAUCCCAUCGCAAACAGCCUAGACGCUUUGACUCCACCCCAGAGAACAUCCAGGAGACCAGAGAGAGGCCAACUCCCUGUCCAACAAACUCUUACGGACCACCAGGAAUCCUCCCUUAAAUAAUAAAUUUAUAAGUCUGAAGCCCCUCUGACCUCUCCUCAAAGCAAAAUCAUCCUCCAAAGGCCCCUCGACCUGAUCCUAUUGAUCCUGUCUGAGCUGUAAUUUUGCGGUGGCUCUGCGCAGACAGGGUCGGCCCGCCUAGUUGGCUGCGGUCUGACGGCUCCAGGGGUGCCUGGCAGCAGCUGGGAUGGAACAGAAAUCAGAUCUGCCCUCCAGAGCCAGGGAGAGCGGCUGCUCCUGUGAGC